rnacentral:rRNA from 1 species
CCUACGGGUGGCAGCAGUGAGGAAUAUUGGUCAAUGGACGAGAGUCUGAACCAGCCAAGUAGCGUGAAGGAUGACUGCCCUAUGGGUUGUAAACUUCUUUUAUAUGGGAAUAAAAUGUUCCACGUGUGGGAUUUUGUAUGUACAAUAUGAAUAAGGAACGGAUAAAUACGUGCCAGCAGCCGCGGUAAUAAGGAGGAUCCGAGCUUUAUCCGGAUUUAUUGGGUUUAAAGGGAGCGUAGGUGGAUUGUUAAGUCAGUUGUGAAAGUUUGCGGCUCAACCGUAAAAUUGCAGUUGAAACUGGCAGUCUUGAGUACAGUAGAGGUGGGCGGAAUUCGUGGUGUAGCGGUGAAAUGCUUAGAUAUCACGAAGAACUCCGAUUGCGAAGGCAGUUCACUGGACUGCAACUGACACUGAGGCUCGAAAGUGUGGGUAUCAAACAGGAUUAGAUACCCUUGUAGUC